UACGGAGGAUCCAAGCGUUAUCCGGAUUUAUUGGGUUUAAAGGGUGCGUAGGUGGUUCUUUAAGUCAGGGGUGAAAGACGGCAGCUUAACUGUCGCAGUGCCUUUGAUACUGAAGAACUUGAAUACACUAGAGGUAGGCGGAAUGUGACAAGUAGCGGUGAAAUGCAUAGAUAUGUCACAGAACACCAAUUGCGAAGGCAGCUUACUAUGGUGUCAUUGACACUGAGGCACGAAAGCGUGGGGAGCAAACAGG
rnacentral:rRNA from 1 species